rnacentral:misc_RNA from 1 species
CCGAGUUUUCUACUCCCAAACCCCUGUGAACUUAUACCUUUACCGUUGCUUCGGCGGGUUAACGCCCCGGAAAGGCCCCCGAAAGGGAGCCGCCCCGGAACCAGGCGCCCGCCGGGGGACCCAAACUCUAAUGUUUCUUAUUGUAACUUCUGAGUAAAACAAACAAAUAAAUCA